AACCGGAUCACUUUGGUUUCGGAUGCCGGCUGGGUGUGACUGUUAACAUUCAGUGAGAACUCUUGAGGUUAAGCAAGCAUUCACAGAUUAAAUACUGACUUCAGAAGUCGCACUGAUUCUCUGUGAUGAUUUGAAAUCAGAAUCCCUGAGGCACCAGAGUGAAACAAAGUUUUUUCCGUUCGCCCCUCUAUAGUACGUUCAGUGCUGACGGCAAAACCAUUCCACCUGUCGGCAGUUAGAUUGGUGAGAUAGGAGUCCUCCCCUCCAGGACUGAUUACUUUAUCUAGAGGACCAUAAAGCACACAACAGACAGCAUAGAGCACGGACAGUUUCGUUCGUUUCACACAUGCUGGAUGAUGGCAACCCACUAACUGAUGCUAAGAAAGCUAAAGUCCAUGUCUGGCUUUCCUCGUGGAUAAAAGACUUUUUGGGGGUUUUUUUUGGAUGAAAGUACAAAACAUAUCUCCCUCACAGAGCGGCUUAAUAAAUAGGAUUUGGAAAUGCAGAGAAGGAGAAAGCUAAAGGCUUCAUCACUGUGAGAUGAAGAGUUCGACUGUGUAUGACCAGGUUUGCAGAGCUGCAGAAACAGCUGGAAGCCGCAGCAGUGAAAGAUCACGGACAUAUGCUCAACACCUUCAGAGAUUUUUGACAACUGAACACUAUAAGCUACAUGUACCACUUAAAAGUGGAGCUGGUUUCUAAUAAACCAUUACAUUUUCACAACAUCACGCUUGCCUUGACCCUCUGGUCUGAUUGCUUUCACAAUGCUGAUUCUUGCUUUUUGACCUAUUACAGACUCUUCACCACUGUGCUGCUGUGCUUCCUGUGUCUGAUUUCAGGUAGCACA